AGGGGAAAAGACUGGAGUUUUGCCGAUGGGCAGGGGAGUUCCGUGACCUGGUUGGGUAGGAAAUUAGGGUGGAAAAUAGGUUGGACAUAUAAAGUAUGUAAGCGUAGUACAUAGGGUUCAGUAAAAAACUGUUUAAUUUUGGUAGAAUUUGAUGGUUUUGUUCAAUUGAUAAGCUGAAACUAAGUGAGUAACGUAUCUGAACUUUUUUUUUUCACAAAGAUUCGAGCUUUCAGGUAGUUUUUAUCAUCAGGGCAUUUACAUCUUUUUCGGAUGACAAUGGUGGAGCGUGCUUUGAGUGAGGCGUCGUCAGGGAACUCUGGUAUAUGCCAGAGAUCGCGGAAGGACGCCAGGUGAGGAGCACAGGCC
rnacentral:lncRNA from 1 species